AGACACGUACCCCGACUUACUGCAUGGAGCCCAACUUCUUCAACAACUCGGAGCUCAUGCUCCUCUGCAAGGACGGCAGCGCCGUUCGUGCCAUCGAUGUCUUGAAGGACGCGGAGUACGUGCUUAUGUACUUUUCCGCACGCUGGUGCCCGCCGUGCCGCGCCUUCACCCCGCUGCUGAAGAGCUUCUACGAGACUCACCACGCCAAGAAGAAGUUCGAGGUUGUGUUCAUGUCAUUGGAUCGAUCUGAGGAGGAGAUGAUGAGCUACUUUCGUGAGUCGCACGGGGACUACUACUGCCUGCCGUACGCGGAUGCCAGGUCGAUGGCGCGGGUGUGGGGCGACACAUACAAUAUCAAGAUCAUUCCUACGCUUCUCGUGUUCGAGAACGCAAAUCCGCGCAAGCUGAUUGCGCGAUGCGGCCGGGAAAUGGUCACCCAAGACCCGUUCGGAAAGUUUUUUCCUUGGCCCGAUGCAGAGCCGCAGCAGCCGGCUGAGUCAUUCAUUUUGGACUACACCCGUAAGGCAGCCAUUGUGCUGGGCAUCUUGGUUCUCCUCUACUCACUGAGCAAGCGCAGCUCGUGAUGUACGUUGAACUAGUGCUGAUGUGUCAGCGCAAACGGGUCGAUCAAAUACGAGUGAGUGAGCGGGCGAGCGUUAGAUUGAGGACAGCGCCGUCCUUGCUCCUCGUGCAAAACGUGAUGUGCUUCAAGCCGGCCACGGCGGUCGGCAUCGCUGACUUCUCUUUCUCCCGAGCGCCAACACGCACACACUCUCUACGCCCUCUUUUGCUUACUCCUUCCGGGCGGAAAGGGCGUCGUGGUACCGACUUAACUUCCUGUUUACGCGGCCAAGACGUCGUGCACUCUCUUACGCGUGCCCAUGCUUGUGCAGACUACUGAAAUGGUCCAGUGCGAUCUUUUCACCAGCGUUUCCACGUGCGCCUGUUGCGCUGGGCUCUACCAGGAAAUC
rnacentral:misc_RNA from 1 species